GUGUCAGCCGCCGCGGUAAUACGUAGGGGGCAAGCGUUGUCCGGAAUUACUGGGCGUAAAGGGCGUGUAGGUGGGUAAUUAAGUCAUGGGUGAAAACUGCGAGCUCAACUUGCAGACUGCCUAUGAAACUGGCUAUCUUGAGGGCAGGAGAGGAAAGUGGAAUUCCUAGUGUAGCGGUGAAAUGCGUAGAUAUUAGGAGGAACACCAGUGGCGAAGGCGACUUUCUGGACUGACCCUGACACUGAGGCGCGAAAGCUAGGGGAGCGAACGGGAUUAGAUACCCCGGUAGUCCUAGCCGUAAACGAUGGGUACUAGGUGUGGGAGGUAUCGACCCCUUCCGUGCCGGAGUUAACACAUUAAGUACCCCGCCUGGGGAGUACGGCCGCAAGGUUGAA
rnacentral:rRNA from 1 species